UAGCCGUAAACGAUACUCGCUAGGUGUCGGCCACGGUGCGACCGUUGUCGGUGCCGUAGGGAAGCCGUGAAGCGAGCCACCUGGGAAGUACGGCCGCAAGGCUGAAACUUAAAGGAAUUGGCGGGGGAGCACCACAACGGGUGGAGCUUGCGGUUUAAUUGGAUUCAACGCCGGAAAUCUUACCGGGACCGACAGCAACAUGAAGGCCAGGCUGAAGACUUUGCCGGAUUAGCUGAGAGGAGGUGCAUGGCGUAGUCGU
rnacentral:rRNA from 1 species